CAGCAGCAGCCACGGUAAUACAGAGGGUGCGAGCGUUAAUCGGAUUUACUGGGCGUAAAGCGUGCGUAGGCGGCUUUUUAAGUCGGAUGUGAAAUCCCUGAGCUUAACUUAGGAAUUGCAUUCGAUACUGGGAAGCUAGAGUAUGGGAGAGGAUGGUAGAAUUCCAGGUGUAGCGGUGAAAUGCGUAGAGAUCUGGAGGAAUACCGAUGGCGAAGGCAGCCAUCUGGCCUAAUACUGACGCUGAGGUACGAAAGCAUGGUGAGCAAACAGGAUUAGAUACCCGAGUAGUCCCUGUCUCUUAUAC
rnacentral:rRNA from 1 species